AGAGUUUGAUCCUGGCUCAGAACGAACGCUGGCGGCGUGCUUAACACAUGCAAGUCGAACGCGAAAGGGGACUUCGGUCCCCCGGUAGAGUGGCGCACGGGUGAGUAACGCGUAGAUAAUCUACCCCUAUAUUUGGAAUAACAGUUCGAAAGGACUGCUAAUACCGGAUACACUUAUUUGGACGCGAGUUUGAAUGAGGAAAGGUGACCUCUUCUUGAAAGUUACUGUAUAGGGAUGAGUCUGCGUACCAUUAGCUAGUAGGUAGGGUAAAGGCCUACCUAGGCUACGAUG
rnacentral:rRNA from 1 species